GGUUAAGCGACUAAGCGUACACGGUGGAUGCCCUGGCAGUCAGAGGCGAUGAAGGACGUGCUAAUCUGCGAUAAGCGUCGGUGAGGUGAUAUGAACCGUUAUAACCGGCGAUUUCCGAAUGGGGAAACCCAGUGUGUUUCGACACACUAUCAUUAACUGAAUCCAUAGGUUAAUGAGGCGAACCGGGGGAACUGAAACAUCUAAGUACCCCGAGGAAAAGAAAUCAACCGAGAUUCCCCCAGUAGCGGCGAGCGAACGGGGAGGAGCCCAGAGCCUGAAUCAGUGUGUGUGUUAGUGGAAGCGUCUGGAAAGGCGCGCGAUACAGGGUGACAGCCCCGUACACAAAAAUGCACAUAUUGUGAGCUCGAUGAGUAGGGCGGGACACGUGGUAUCCUGUCUGAAUAUGGGGGGACCAUCCUCCAAGGCUAAAUACUCCUGACUGACCGAUAGUGAACCAGUACCGUGAGGGAAAGGCGAAAAGAACCCCGGCGAGGGGAGUGAAAAAGAACCUGAAACCGUGUACGUACAAGCAGUGGGAGCCUCUUUAUGGGGUGACUGCGUACCUUUUGUAUAAUGGGUCAGCGACUUAUAUUCUGUAGCAAGGUUAACCGAAUAGGGGAGCCGAAGGGAAACCGAGUCUUAACUGGGCGUUAAGUUGCAGGGUAUAGACCCGAAACCCGGUGAUCUAGCCAUGGGCAGGUUGAAGGUUGGGUAACACUAACUGGAGGACCGAACCGACUAAUGUUGAAAAAUUAGCGGAUGACUUGUGGCUGGGGGUGAAAGGCCAAUCAAACCGGGAGAUAGCUGGUUCUCCCCGAAAGCUAUUUAGGUAGCGCCUCGUGAAUUCAUCUCCGGGGGUAGAGCACUGUUUCGGCAAGGGGGUCAUCCCGACUUACCAACCCGAUGCAAACUGCGAAUACCGGAGAAUGUUAUCACGGGAGACACACGGCGGGUGCUAACGUCCGUCGUGAAGAGGGAAACAACCCAGACCGCCAGCUAAGGUCCCAAAGUCAUGGUUAAGUGGGAAACGAUGUGGGAAGGCCCAGACAGCCAGGAUGUUGGCUUAGAAGCAGCCAUCAUUUAAAGAAAGCGUAAUAGCUCACUGGUCGAGUCGGCCUGCGCGGAAGAUGUAACGGGGCUAAACCAUGCACCGAAGCUGCGGCAGCGACACUAUGUGUUGUUGGGUAGGGGAGCGUUCUGUAAGCCUGUGAAGGUGGCCUGUGAGGGUUGCUGGAGGUAUCAGAAGUGCGAAUGCUGACAUAAGUAACGAUAAAGCGGGUGAAAAGCCCGCUCGCCGGAAGACCAAGGGUUCCUGUCCAACGUUAAUCGGGGCAGGGUGAGUCGACCCCUAAGGCGAGGCCGAAAGGCGUAGUCGAUGGGAAACAGGUUAAUAUUCCUGUACUUGGUGUUACUGCGAAGGGGGGACGGAGAAGGCUAUGUUGGCCGGGCGACGGUUGUCCCGGUUUAAGCGUGUAGGCUGGUUUUCCAGGCAAAUCCGGAAAACCAAGGCUGAGGCGUGAUGACGAGGCACUACGGUGCUGAAGCGACAAAUGCCCUGCUUCCAGGAAAAGCCUCUAAGCAUCAGGUAACAUCAAAUCGUACCCCAAACCGACACAGGUGGUCAGGUAGAGAAUACCAAGGCGCUUGAGAGAACUCGGGUGAAGGAACUAGGCAAAAUGGUGCCGUAACUUCGGGAGAAGGCACGCUGAUAUGUAGGUGAAGCGACUUGCUCGUGGAGCUGAAAUCAGUCGAAGAUACCAGCUGGCUGCAACUGUUUAUUAAAAACACAGCACUGUGCAAACACGAAAGUGGACGUAUACGGUGUGACGCCUGCCCGGUGCCGGAAGGUUAAUUGAUGGGGUUAGCGGUAACGCGAAGCUCUUGAUCGAAGCCCCGGUAAACGGCGGCCGUAACUAUAACGGUCCUAAGGUAGCGAAAUUCCUUGUCGGGUAAGUUCCGACCUGCACGAAUGGCGUAAUGAUGGCCAGGCUGUCUCCACCCGAGACUCAGUGAAAUUGAAUUCGCUGUGAAGAUGCAGUGUACCCGCGGCAAGACGGAAAGACCCCGUGAACCUUUACUAUAGCUUGACACUGAACAUUGAGCCUUGAUGUGUAGGAUAGGUGGGAGGCUUUGAAGUGUGGACGCCAGUCUGCAUGGAGCCGACCUUGAAAUACCACCCUUUAAUGUUUGAUGUUCUAACGUUGGCCCGUAAUCCGGGUUGCGGACAGUGUCUGGUGGGUAGUUUGACUGGGGCGGUCUCCUCCUAAAGAGUAACGGAGGAGCACGAAGGUUGGCUAAUCCUGGUCGGACAUCAGGAGGUUAGUGCAAUGGCAUAAGCCAGCUUGACUGCGAGCGUGACGGCGCGAGCAGGUGCGAAAGCAGGUCAUAGUGAUCCGGUGGUUCUGAAUGGAAGGGCCAUCGCUCAACGGAUAAAAGGUACUCCGGGGAUAACAGGCUGAUACCGCCCAAGAGUUCAUAUCGACGGCGGUGUUUGGCACCUCGAUGUCGGCUCAUCACAUCCUGGGGCUGAAGUAGGUCCCAAGGGUAUGGCUGUUCGCCAUUUAAAGUGGUACGCGAGCUGGGUUUAGAACGUCGUGAGACAGUUCGGUCCCUAUCUGCCGUGGGCGCUGGAGAACUGAGGGGGGCUGCUCCUAGUACGAGAGGACCGGAGUGGACGCAUCACUGGUGUUCGGGUUGUCAUGCCAAUGGCACUGCCCGGUAGCUAAAUGCGGAAGAGAUAAGUGCUGAAAGCAUCUAAGCACGAAACUUGCCCCGAGAUGAGUUCUCCCUGACUCCUUGAGAGUCCUGAAGGAACGUUGAAGACGACGACGUUGAUAGGCCGGGUGUGUAAGCGCAGCGAUGCGUUGAGCUAACCGGUACUAAUGAACCGUGAGGCUUAACCUU
rnacentral:rRNA from 1 species